AUGAACGCUAGCUACAGGCUUAACACAUGCAAGUCGAGGGGCAGCAUGGUCUUAGCUUGCUAAGACUGAUGGCGACCGGCGCACGGGUGAGUAACACGUAUCCAACCUGCCGUCUACUCUUGGACAGCCUUCUGAAAGGAAGAUUAAUACAAGAUGGCAUCAUGAGUCCGCAUGUUCACAUGAUUAAAGGUAUUCCGGUAGACGAUGGGGAUGCGUUCCAUUAGAUAGUAGGCGGGGUAACGGCCCACCUAGUCUUCGAUGGAUAGGGGUUCUGAGAGGAAGGUCCCCCACAUUGGAACUGAGACACGGUCCAAACUCCUACGGGAGGCAGCAGUGAGGAAUAUUGGUCAAUGGGCGAGAGCCUGAACCAGCCAAGUAGCGUGAAGGAUGACUGCCCUAUGGGUUGUAAACUUCUUUUAUAAAGGAAUAAAGUCGGGUAUGGAUACCCGUUUGCAUGUACUUUAUGAAUAAGGAUCGGCUAACUCCGUGCCAGCAGCCGCGGUAAUACGGAGGAUCCGAGCGUUAUCCGGAUUUAUUGGGUUUAAAGGGAGCGUAGAUGGAUGUUUAAGUCAGUUGUGAAAGUUUGCGGCUCAACCGUAAAAUUGCAGUUGAUACUGGAUAUCUUGAGUGCAGUUGAGGCAGGCGGAAUUCGUGGUGUAGCGGUGAAAUGCUUAGAUAUCACGAAGAACUCCGAUUGCGAAGGCAGCCUGCUAAGCUGCAACUGACAUUGAGGCUCGAAAGUGUGGGUAUCAAACAGGAUUAGAUACCCUGGUAGUCCACACGGUAAACGAUGAAUACUCGCUGUUUGCGAUAUACAGCAAGCGGCCAAGCGAAAGCGUUAAGUAUUCCACCUGGGGAGUACGCCGGCAACGGUGAAACUCAAAGGAAUUGACGGGGGCCCGCACAAGCGGAGGAACAUGUGGUUUAAUUCGAUGAUACGCGAGGAACCUUACCCGGGCUUAAAUUGCAGAUGAAUUACGGUGAAAGCCGUAAGCCGCAAGGCAUCUGUGAAGGUGCUGCAUGGUUGUCGUCAGCUCGUGCCGUGAGGUGUCGGCUUAAGUGCCAUAACGAGCGCAACCCUUGUUGUCAGUUACUAACAGGUCAUGCUGAGGACUCUGACAAGACUGCCAUCGUAAGAUGUGAGGAAGGUGGGGAUGACGUCAAAUCAGCACGGCCCUUACGUCCGGGGCUACACACGUGUUACAAUGGGGGGUACAGAGGGCCGCUACCACGCGAGUGGAUGCCAAUCCCCAAAACCUCUCUCAGUUCGGACUGGAGUCUGCAACCCGACUCCACGAAGCUGGAUUCGCUAGUAAUCGCGCAUCAGCCACGGCGCGGUGAAUACGUUCCCGGGCCUUGUACACACCGCCCGUCAAGCCAUGGGAGCCGGGGGUACCUGAAGUGCGUAACCGCGAGGAGCGCCCUAGGGUAAAACUGGUGACUGGGGCU
rnacentral:rRNA from 1 species